AUACGGAGGAUGCAAGCGUUAUCCGGAUUUAUUGGGUUUAAAGGGUGCGUAGGCGGUUUGCUAAGCGGGAGGUGAAAUGCCGGCGCUCAACGUCGGAAGUGCCUCCCGAACUGGUGGACUUGAAUGACUCUGCCGUGGGAGGAAUGUGUAGUGUAGCGGUGAAAUGCUUAGAGAUUACACAGAACACCGAUUGCGAAGGCAUCUCACGAAGGGUUGAUUGACGCUGAGGCACGAAAGCGUGGGGAUCAAACAGGAUUAGAUACCCUGGCAGUCCACGCAGUAAACGAUGAUGGCUAACCGCUGGGCUUAUCAGUUCAGUGGCCAAGCGAAAGCGAUAAGCCAUCCACCUGGGGAGUACGACCGCAAGGUUGAAACUCAAAUGAAUUGACGGGG
rnacentral:rRNA from 1 species